UCGUAUCGACCCAGCCCAAUUGAUCCCACCACCCAGUCGGCAGCAGACAGAGAAGGAAAAAAAAAGGUAGCCACCAACCCACCGAUUCCCCCGAUUCCCCGUUCUCUCGAGCGCCUCGUCGCCUCCGACGGCGCUGCCAUUCCUCUUUCGUCUCGAGCUCACGCACGCGGCUCACGUCGCUCGCCGUCGACGCUUCCCGGCGAGGCCAUCCGCGGCCGCCGUCGCUUCUUCCCGGAGCCGCGCCGCCAACCCACCCCGUCUCCACACCCCCGCGUGGCACCCUGUCUUGCCCUCUCUCUAGGCUUAUUUCCAUUCUUGAUUCCCCCGAUUCCCCGUUCUCUCGAGCGCCUCGUCGCCUCCGACGGCGCCACCUCUUUCGUCUCGAGCUCACGCACGCGGCUCACGUCGCUCGCCGUCGACGCUUCCCGGCGAGGCCAUCCGUGGCCGCCGUUGCUUCUUCCCGGAGCCGCGCCGCCAACCCACCCCGUCUCCACACCCCCGCGCGGCACCCUGUCUUGCCCUCUUUCUCUAGGGUUUUCUCUGAACCCAAAUCGCUGUAAGUCCUCAACGACUUCUCUGGUUGUUUUGCUUGGAGCUCUAGCUCACUUCUUUGGUUCUCACUGCUACCCGAUUUUCGUCGCCCAGAUUCUGCCAUGGCUGCUCAAUCACAUGUCCAGGAUGGCAUCAGUAUGCACACCCAGCCUUAGAAGCAGCGCCAUUUGUUUAGAACCUCUGCAUUAUAGCCACUAA
rnacentral:lncRNA from 1 species